CUAAUGGCGCUGAAGGUAUCGGUCAUCUUCCUCGACGAGGGUCUUGUUGGUUGAUGCAGUGCCCCGUUUCAGAUGCUUUAUUAAUGUGCGUGCGGCCAUCAUCGGGUUGACAAAAUGAAAGAGAAACCAAGUUGUGCUGUGGAGGUGUUUUGGUAAAACCGGAAAACAACUAGGUUAACUGAAGAAACCUAUGAAGAUCAGCCAGUAGAGAACUAAAUGCCGUAACUGCAACCAAUCACACUUUUAUUUUUGCAACUCAAAUUCAAUGGGCGCAUUGUACCUGAGGAAUCCAGGUUUGCUGUCAUCCAAGGAUGCAUCAAACUGCCGCUGUGCUUGGACAACAUAGCCGAUUCUUCCGGCAGGACUCAGUUCUUCAUGGCUUGCAUAUGGUAAAUUCGUUCCUAAACCCCUAUCCUUCUCUUCCUCAUUGUCACUUUCAUCAAACAAAAUAUUCUUUCCUCUGAAUACUGCUGAGUGCUGCUCACUCGAACCUGCAUUAUCUUCGUCACUGACAUCUGAGAUCGAAGAAGAUGAUCUCUGUAGCUGCAUCUCGAACCUCUCUCUGAUUCUUUCCUUGUGAAGCAAAUCAUCCUGUUUUGCUUUCAUUCCCUCAUCUGAAUCCGAGCCAGAGUUCUGAUCAUGGUGGAUCUUCUCAAAGUUUUUGCUGUCAGCAGAAUUCUCAAUCUCAACACUCUCGGAUCCGUUGAUAUCACUUCUCUUCUGGCUACCAGCUUUACUCUCAUCAGCAGAGCCUUUUUCUUGGGACUCCGAUCGACAGAGUUCCACUGCAGCCCUUGCAGCUGCCGCAGCAAAAGCAGCUGACUCAAAGGCAGCCUGUGCUGCACUGGCCACAUCAUCAUACUUCUGAUGGCUCCUAAAUGCAGGAUUAUCAUCCGAUUCAAGUUGCUCCAGGUUGAGAUGAGUUGGUGGGCUGACCAUCGAAUUCCCCUGAAUCAAAGGAGAUCCAAAAGCAACAAGAUGAGAUGGGACUGUACAACACCUGAAGAAGUGCGAAGUGUUUGAACCAGAGCUA